rnacentral:rRNA from 1 species
GACGAACGCUGGCGGCGUGCUUAACACAUGCAAGUCGAACGGAAAGGCCCUGCUUUUGUGGGGUGCUCGAGUGGCGAACGGGUGAGUAACACGUGAGUAACCUGCCCUUGACUUUGGUAUAACUUCAGGAAACUGGGGCUAAUACCGGAUAGGAUCUCCUGCUGCGUGGUGGGGGUUGGAAAGUUUCGGCGGUUGGGGAUGGACUCGCGGCUUAUCAGCUUGUUGGUGGGGUAGUGGCUUACCAAGGCUUUGACGGGUAGCCGGCCUGAGAGGGUGACCGGCCACCUUGGGCCUGAGAUACGGCCCAGACUCGUACGGGAGGCAGCAGUGGGGAAUAUUGCACAAUGGGCGGAAGCCUGAUGCAGCAACGCCGCGUGCGGGAUGACGGCCUUCGGGUUGUAAACCGCUUUCGCCUGUGACGAAGCGUGAGUGACGGUAAUGGGUAAAGAAGCACCGGCUAACUACGUG